CCCCUAGACGUUCUGGGCUGCACGCGCGCUACAAUAAUACGCACAGCGAGUAUCACCGAGCUCGAAAGGGCAAGGUAAACAAUAGAAAAGGUACUGUAAUGGUUAUAGAUCCUUGUAAUUAUUGAUCUUCAACGAGGAAUUCCUAGUAAGUAUGUGUCAUCAUCACGCACUGAUUACGUCCCUGCCCUUUGUACACACCGCCCGUCGCUCCUACCGAUUGGGUGAGCCGAUGAAACUCUCGGAUGUAGGCUAUUCAUAGCCCGCAGAAAAGAUUUGAAUCGUAGCGCUUAGAGGAAGGAGAAGUCGUAACA
rnacentral:rRNA from 1 species